rnacentral:rRNA from 1 species
GACAGAGGCCCCAAGCGUUAGUCGGAAUUACUGGGCUUAAAGGGUGCGUAGGCGGGCGCGUAAGUGUUCUGUGAAAUCCCCGGGCUCAACCCGGGAACCGCAGGGCAUACUGCGCGUCUCGAGGAAGCUAGAGGCCGGUGGAACGAUCGGUGGAGCGGUGGAAUGCGUAGAGAUCGAUCGGAACGCCAAGGGUGAAGACAACCGGCUGGGGCUUUCCUGACGCUGAGGCGAAAGCGCGGGGAUCAAACAGG